CCACUUUUGCACGGGACGAAAAAGGGAUAUCGAACAAAUAUCCCCGAUGACGGUACCGUGAGAAUAAGCCACGGCUAACUCUGUGCCAGCAGCCGCGGUAAGACAGAGGUGGCAAGCGUUGUUCGGAAUUACUGGGCGUAAAGAGUCUGUAGGUGGUUUGUCAAGUCUUUGGUGAAAGGCCGUAGCUUAACUAUGGGAAUGCCAAAGAGACUGGCAGGCUGGAGGCUGGGAGAGGGAAGCGGAAUUUCUGGUGUAGCGGUGAAAUGCGUAGAUAUCAGAAGGAAGGCCGGUGGCGAAGGCGGCUUCCUGGAACAGUCCUGACACUGAGAGACGAAAGCGUGGGGAGCAAACAGGAUUAGAUACCCUGGUAGUCCACGCCCUAAACGAUGGGUACUAAGUGUGGAGGGGUUAAACCCUCCGUGCCGCAGCAAACGCAGUAAGUACCCCGCCUGGGGAGUACGGCCGCAAGGUUGAAACUCA
rnacentral:rRNA from 1 species